UAUUAUAUAAAUCUAACUCGUAUUUCCUAACUUUAUAUGUGUGGCUAGCUACUCUAGGGAUAACAGCGCAAUUUCUCCCGAAGAUGGUAUUGGAGGGGAAGAUUGCGACCUCGAUGUUGGCUUUAGAUAUCCUAGAGGCGUAGAAGCUUCUAAUGGUGGCUGUUCGCCCUUUAAAAUCUA
rnacentral:rRNA from 1 species